rnacentral:lncRNA from 1 species
AAACGACGCUCAGCAGCUUCGUCGUCAGAAGGCCGGUUCAGCGUCGUUGUGCAGGGACUUCCCCGUAUUGCAGGCUGGACAGCGACCGGAACAUCAGAUUGAAGCAAGGAACCUGGCUGGUUUGCUGCACUUAGCCUGAAGUUUCUGUGGGGUGUUUGCCGGGAAGAUUGCCAACACGGUGAGUGCUGGACUGCAGGGGCUACCGAGACCGAGGAU